UACGUAGGGACCGAGCGUUGUCCGGAUUCAUUGGGCGUAAAGAGCUCGUAGGCGGUCUGUCGCGUCGGCUGUGAAAACCCGGGGCUCAACCCCGGGCCUGCAGUCGAUACGGGCAGACUAGAGUGCGGUAGGGGAGACUGGAAUUCCUGGUGUAGCGGUGAAAUGCGCAGAUAUCAGGAGGAACACCGAUGGCGAAGGCAGGUCUCUGGGCCGAUACUGACGCUGAGGAGCGAAAGCGUGGGGGAGCGAACAGG
rnacentral:rRNA from 1 species